GUAGCAUUUUCAGCAGGAGUUGGGGACCAGCACGGUAUUUCAUCAGAGAUGCUAUUAACAUCUGUUUAUUUGCAGUUCAUGGUUUAAAUCUCAGUGGGAGCUCAUCUGCCAAGCGGAAGGGUUUCAAAUAAGAUCAAGUGAGAAAUAUACUCUGCUCCAUCCCAGGUCAUGGAGGACAUAUUUUCAUUGUGUCUUUGUUAUUUGUCCUCAAGCUAAAGUACAAAGUCAUCUGGGCUGAAAAACACAUGUUGUUUAUUGUGCAUGAGAGAUGGAUAUACUGUGUGUGGGAGGUAGCAUGACCAUUUGCCUUCUCUCUUCAAGACAAUGGUAAUGCCUGCAAUGAGUCCUGCUCUGAAGAGAAAUCACCUUACUGUAACUUCACCUGUACUGCGGGUCAAUCAUUUCUGCUGAGCUGCAGUUGGUUUUUCCACUGAAGAAGAAACAAACAGACAAAGAAACCCUGCUUAUGGGAUUGACUGAUACUGAGCUGGCCAGGUGGCAACUUCAGUUUGACCAGAGUAUUUAACAUUUUGGGAGCUAAAGUUCCCUUUGCUCUGAGUGUAAAGGUCUGAAGUUUUUUCAUUUCCUCUAGAUUAGGACGGAGUAGUGUUGUGGGUUUUUUUGUUAUUUCUAUGCAUUGGGAAGUGGCUGUUCUAAGGUAGCUGAAAUGGAGCUAAGCACUACUGCUAAUAUUUGCCUUUCAGCAGGUUUGACGGUGACCUUCCUUCCCCAGUUCACCCAAAUGAAAUUAGAAGAUGGAAAGGAAAAAGUUUCUUCAAGUGUUCAGCAAGAAGACGGGAGAUUGACAGGUCUCUGGCUGAGAUAUAACCUAUGCCAGAAUUUCCUCUGUGGGAACUGCAGAUACAAUGAUUUCAGUGUACUUGCAGCUGGGAUAAAUUGA
rnacentral:lncRNA from 1 species